UCGAAUUUUAUAAACUCGAGUCUUUGAAAGGGGGGAAACCUUUUUUUGAGGCUCGUUUUCAUAAAACCAACCCACCCUUUUGUGAACCAUCGCGUGAGUUAGUAGGGGGGGGGUUGUACCCCCCUUGAAAGCUUGCGACCUAUAUACCCCAGUAUUAAGUCUCAGAAUGUUACCUUGCGUACAACGCAAUAAAAUA
rnacentral:misc_RNA from 1 species